rnacentral:rRNA from 1 species
UUGAGUUCAAGAAGUACGUGAAACCGUCUGGGAGUAAACGGGUGGUUCCCGAAAGUGCGAAAGGGGAGAUUCAGGUCUCGCCGCGCGUCGGGCCGCGCCCGCGACCAGGGAUGGCGAGUUCGCGGCCGCGGGGCGACCCGCGGUCCGGGAGGGCGACCCGCGGUCCGGGAGCGCCACCCCGCGGGCGCGGUCUGUCCCGGCGCCGGAGUGACGCACUUCUCCCCCGGUAGAACGUCGCGAUCCGUCGGCCGCCGGCCUAAGGUCCCGGGUGGAGUCUGCGCGGACUUGAUAUCCGCGCACGACCCCGGGUCUCCCGGCCGGGUGCCCGACGGUACGAAGAGAUGAAGGAGCAGGCGCGCCUCUUUCGAGCAGGCGUCCGCCCCUCCGCAAGCGCCCGCGGGAGAGGGAGUUCCCGGGCCCGGCCCGGACUCCUCCUCCUGCGGGGCUGUUUGCGAUCAGGAGAUGCGCUCGGAC